GUGCGCUCUGACUCCUGAUUUGCGUUCCGGCCUCCGGCGUUUCCGCGUGCGUAGCGGGAGACGGAGCCCGUGGGGCAACCUGGCGCUGGUCCUACCGGGAGCGCUUCCGGCCACGCAGGCGCAGGAGCCCGCGUGCCUGGCAGGAGGAGAGGACCGCAGGGAAGAAAAGAGAUCCUGUUUGCUGCGGGGAAUGGAUUGGAAAAGAGAAAGCAGUGUUAGAGCCCGUGGGAGAGUGUUGCAGAAGCGCAGGUCAGCUUCUAAGAAUCAGACACUGAGGGAAGACGCUCCGGAGACUGUGAGGCCGGAGUGGUGAAUGUUGUCGUCGCAUCCACCGGAGUCCUGGGAGACGCCUGGAAGGAGGGCGCUGUAGAGAAAGAUGCGGGCCCGGGAUCUCGAGGACGAGGCAGAGCGCUUUCAAACCAGCGCACAGGGCCAGCCGGAGCCUUGACCGACCCAGGAGUCUGGCCAGAAACCUGAGCGGGAAGGAAGGCCCUCCCGGCAGGUAUCGGGCACGCGACCCGUGGCUGCUUCUCUCAAACCCAGAUGCUCACGGCAGCCCUGGCCCCUCCGUCCUUCCUGAGACCGGCUGGGCUGUGACCGCACCUCGUGUCUCCGUCUGAGGGGCCUCCGUCUGAGG
rnacentral:lncRNA from 1 species